CUUUGAUGAUUAAAAAGAAAAAAAAAAGUUAAAACAAAAAAACCUUCCCUCCAUUUUGGAAAAGCGCAGCCUAAAUGAAACAUUUCACACUAACCCUCCUCCCAGCUGCUCCCUCCUUACAUCACUGAAACUGAAUUUCACUCACUUCACUCGAUCUCCUCUCCUCUCUUCUCUUCAGCGCCGCCGCGCUGUGACCACCGCUCCCACACCGACCUGUCGUGACUGCAGUUGGGGUCGCUGCUUUCUUCUUCUCCUUCCUCUUUAUUGUCGGGUGUGUUGUUCUUCUCCGCCACGUCGCCGCCGUUGUCGGUGGCUUCUGGUUCCAACGAUUGAUGCUUCAUCAUCUAUCUGAAAUAUGCAAACCUAGAGAAAUCGGAUUGUGUGGUUUGGCUGCAAGGACAUUGCAAAAAUAAAAGGCCCCAUAUGAAUUGGCAUACAUUCUAAACCCACUUGGAUCAGUGUUUCCCUGAUUACUGUUGUAAGUUAAGAACCUCGUAAAAUUUUCACACGUCUUAAGAAAUAAGAAGUGAAUCUGUGUGCUAUUCGGUUGAGUAUAAUAGUGUAUUAGUAUAAGUGAAAUAUUCAAACAAGUAAAUGUAAUGUACUGAAUAGAGAAGAGCACAUUCGAAUUGGGACUAUGAUAUUCUUUACAAUGACAAAUAUUCUUCUUGCCCGCUUUCAUUUACUUGGGCCUCUAUUCUUCUUAGUGAUAUUCUUCUUGCCUGCUUUCAUUUACUUGGGCCUCUAUUCUUCUUAGUGAUAUUCUUCUUGCCUGCUUUCAUUUACUUGCCUGCUUUCAUCUGGUUUUACUGUUGGUAGGUUGUAAAACCAGGCAAAUAUCAUUUACAAUGACAAAUAUGAAGACGAUCUGGGGAUCCAGUACUUCUGCUAGUCUGGGGAUCAAGUACUUCUGCUAGUACUUCAAGUUCAUGAUAAGGGUGGAGGGCAGCAUAUUCGGAUGCCGACUAAUAGGCGAGAUGGAAUGUUUCUGCAAUAUCAGACGUCAGGCCUAAUAUCAUAGACACAAGCUUCAAAAUGGAUGAUAUGCCCAGAUUUUUGGCGCUAAAGGUUGAGUUUGACUGAUCUAGUCAAUUUGUCAGGUUUUCACAACUCCAAGGGAGGGGCCCUUCACCAAAGAGGAGUUGGAUGAAGUUCAAGACAAGUGGGCUACUUACUUCAACGAUUGUGAAUUACCCUCAGUGUAAUAAUUAGAGCAGGCUUGUAGUUAUCCGUGACUCGUACAUUAUUUUGUUAUUUAUCGAUUUAAUUAAUUACAUUUGAAUUAAUUCAGAAUUAUUAUUGCGAAUUUGAAAUUUAUAUUAUUUUUGAGGAAUGUCAAGAUGAUGUUUGGUGAAA